GGAUGAUGGGCAGCAUGUAUGGAGACUAAAACACUUUAACAAGCCUGCCUACUGUAAUCUCUGUUUGAAUAUGCUCAUAGGAUUAGGCAAACAGGGUCUCUCUUAUUCGUGUUAUGCAUCACUUUUGGGUGGAAGGAAAUUGUCCAACAAAAUGUGAUAAAUGUCAUAAAACUAUAAAAUGUUACCAAGGAUUGACUGGGUUACAUUGUGUAUGGUGCCAAACCACACUACAUAAUAAGUGUGCUUCACAUCUAAAGCCUGAAUGUGAUUGUGGCAUUCUGAAGGAUCACAUUCUACCUCCCUCCUCAAUCUGUCCAGUAGUACUGGUAAGC